UACGUAGGGUGCAAGCGUUAAUCGGAAUUACUGGGCGUAAAGAGCGCGCAGGCGGUAUGACAAGUCAGAUGUGAAAGAGGCCGGCUUAACCGGCAAGGGUCAUUUGAAACUGUCAGACUAGAGUGUAGCAGAGGAUAGUGGAAUUCCCGGUGUAGUGGUGAAAUGCGUAGAUAUCGGGAGGAACACCAGUGGCGAAGGCGACUAUCUGGGCUGCAACUGACGCUGAGGCGCGAAGGCUAGGGUAGCAAACGGG
rnacentral:rRNA from 1 species